ACUAUCCCUUCUGAUAUAAGUUCCCACCGCCCUCUUGGGCGAUUUGCUCAACUUUCACACCAACUACCCCUAAAGUUUACUUCAGCCCUACAAUCUCGAAAGACAAACCACGAGCUUAUUACAUUACCGUCUAAGUGGAAUGUCAAAUCGAUGAUGAUCCCUUCAAAAACGUACGAAGAAAUCGAGUUUGCGUCGAAGAGAAAAAUUCAACAGAGUGCUGCUCCAAUAUACAUACCCAUGUUUCAAAGCAUUAAGCGAUUGACCUCAAUGGAAAAAACAAAAACGAGAGGAAAGAAGUAAUAAAAAAAUAAGUUAAACAAAUAAAUAAAAGAGAUAAACAAUUAAAAACGAAGUUAAUCUCUUUUAUUGUGAUGGCAAAGAUCGAGAAGACAUUACUAUAAAUAGUACAGAUAAUCGAGUACGUUAAAAAGAAAAAAAAAGAAAAAAAGAACUUCUUCUUGCACCAUUUAAGAUACAAUCGUUUUAAUCUCUAUCAACUGUGUUUCAAGGAAUAAACCAACAAAUAAAAACAAACAAAAAAUAUAUACGUGAUUCCAAAAAGUGCACGUAGAGAUAACUUAUUAGAUAUUAUCGUCUCGACAAAUUCUUCUUCCAAUCAAUUUUACGUACCACCUGAUAAAAGUUAAUGAAAGUCUUUGAUCAAAGUGUUCUCUCAAGUAGUGAAAUUAAACAAAAAAAAAAAGAAAAAAAAA